ACAGGGAUUGCCCCAGUAACGGCGAGUGAAGCGGCAACAGCUCAAAUUUGAAAUCUGGUCCCCCCGCGGGGCCCGAGUUGUAAUUUGAAGAGGAUGCUUCUGGCAAGGUGCCGUCCGAGUUCCCUGGAACGGGACGCCGCAGAGGGUGAGAGCCCCGUACGGUCGGACGCCGAGCCUCUGUGAAGCUCCUUCGACGAGUCGAGUAGUUUGGGAAUGCUGCUCAAAAUGGGAGGUAAACCCCUUCUAAAGCUAAAUACCGGCCAGAGACCGAUAGCGCACAAGUAGAGUGAUCGAAAGAUGAAAAGCACUUUGAAAAGAGAGUUAAAAAGCACGUGAAAUUGUUGAAAGGGAAGCGCUUGCGACCAGACUCGCGCCCGUCGGAUCAGCCGUCGCUCGUCGGCGGCGCACUCCGGCGGGCUCGGGCCAGCAUCAGUUCGCCUCGGGGGGAGAAAGGCGGCAGGAAUGUGGCUCUACGGAGUGUUAUAGCCUGCCGUACAAUACCCCCGGGCGGACUGAGGACCGCGCGUAUGCAAGGAUGCUGGCGUAAUGGUCGUCAGCGACCCGUCUUGAAACACGGACCAAGGAGUCGUCCUAAUAUGCGAGUGUACGGGUGUCAAACCCCUGCGCGUAAUGAAAGUGAACGGAGGUGAGAGCUUCGGCGCAUCAUCGACCGAUCCUGAUGUUCUCGGAUGGAUUUGAGUAAGAGCAUAUUGGGCCGGACCCGAAAGAAGGUGAACUAUGCCUGUGUAGGGUAAAGCCAGAGGAAACUCUGGUGGAGGCUCGCAGCGGUUCUGACGUGCAAAUCGAUCGUCAAACAUGGGCAUGGGGGCGAAAGACUA
rnacentral:rRNA from 1 species